AUGAUUCCCAAGCUUCAAACCCGACCCAGAGUCAGCAACACGGACAGCGCCACACCCGCUUCUGGGGACCACAUGCUCUCUUGGCUGGAAAGAGCGAUCCCGCUGUGGAUCCAGCCAGAGUUAAAGUCAUCAUCUCGCCCCAUGAUUGAAGGAGAAAAUACCUUCUAUCUCCAUUCCAAAUGCUCCAAGAGCCUGGGCUAUUGGCCCCCAUCCAAGGAAAUGGCACAGGUUGCUAUCUCCCCGAAGGCGUGGUUCUCUUCUUCCCAAUCACAGAAGCUUCCUCUUGGCCUCCAGCCUCUCCCUUCCAGCUGUUCCCUACACUGGCUUCAGCGAGAUCAUGUUAUACCUAUAUGACUCUGUCCUGCUUCUACUCAAGAACCUUCCGUGGCUCCCCGUUGCCCUUAAAUAAAGCUCAGGUUUGUUUGUCUUCCCCUACUGUU
rnacentral:lncRNA from 1 species